GACGAACGCUGGCGGCGUGCUUAACACAUGCAAGUCGAACGGAAAGGCCCUGCUUUUGUGGGGUGCUCGAGUGGCGAACGGGUGAGUAACACGUGAGUAACCUGCCCUUGACUUUGGGAUAACUUCAGGAAACUGGGGCUAAUACCGGAUAGAAGCUCCUGCUGCAUGGUGGGGGUUGGAAAGUUUCGGCGGUUGGGGAUGGUCUCGCGGCUUAUCAGCUUGUUGGUGGGGUAGUGGCUUACCAAGGCUUUGACGGGUAGCCGGCCUGAGAGGGUGACCGGCCACAUUGGGACUGAGAUACGGCCCAGACUCCUACGGGAGGCAGCAGUGGGGAAUAUUGCACAAUGGGCGGAAGCCUGAUGCAGCAACGCCGCGUGCGGGAUGACGGCCUUCGGGUUGUAAACCGCUUUCGCCUGUGACGAAGCGUGAGUGACGGUAAUGGGUAAAGAAGCACCGGCUAACUACGUG
rnacentral:rRNA from 1 species